AGUGUGGGAGAGGAAGAUGGAAUUAGUUGUGUAGGGGUAAAAUCCGUAGAGAUAACUAGGAAUACCAAAAGCGAAGGCAAUCUUCUGGAACAUUACUGACGCUGAGGCGCGAAAGCGUGGGGAGCAAACAGGAUUAGAUACCCUGGUAGUCCACGCCCUAAACGAUGAAUGUUAGUCGUCGGGUAGCUAGUCUAUUCGGUGAUGCAGCUAACGCAUUAAACAUUCCGCCUGGGGAGUACGGUCGCAAGAUUAAAACUCAAAGGAAUAGACGGGGACCCGCACAAGUGGUGGAGCAUGUGGUUUAAUUCGAAGAUACGCGAAGAACCUUACCUAGCCUUGACAUAUUUUAGAACUCCGUAGAGAUACAGAGGUGCCUUCGGGAGCUAAUUUACAGGUGCUGCACGGCUGUCGUCAGCUCGUGUCGUGAGAUGUUGGGUUAAGUCCCGCAACGAGCGCAACCCUCGUCACUAGUUACUAACAGUUCGGCUGAGGACUCUAGUGAGACUGCCUUCGUAAGGAGGAGGAAGGUGAGGACGACGUCAAGUCAUCAUGGCCCUUACGGCUAGGGCGACACACGUGCUACAAUGGCCAGGACAGUGAGACGCGAUACCGUGAGGUGGAGCAAAUCUAUAAACCUGGUCUCAGUUCGGAUUGUAGUCUGCAACUCGACUACAUGAAGUUGGAAUCACUAGUAAUCGUAGAUCAGCUAUGCUACGGUGAAUACGUUCCCGGGUCUUGUACUCACCGCCCGUCACACCAUGGGAGUUGAUUUCACCCGAAGCGGGGAAGCUAAACUGGCUACCCUCCACGGUGGAAUUAGCGACUGGGGUGAAGUCGUAACAAGGUAACC
rnacentral:rRNA from 1 species